rnacentral:rRNA from 1 species
GACGAACGCUGGCGGCGUGCUUAACACAUGCAAGUCGAACGGUGAACCUCUUCGGAGGGGAUCAGUGGCGAACGGGUGAGUAACACGUGGGCAACCUGCCCCCGGCUCUGGGAUAACUCCAAGAAAUUGGGGCUAAUACCGGAUGUUCACCGCUUCCCGCAUGGGUGGUGGUGGAAAGGGUUUCCGGCUGGGGAUGGGCCCGCGGCCUCUCAGCUUGUUGGUGGGGUAGUGGCCUACCAAGGCGACGACGGGUAGCCGGCCUGCGAGGGUGACCGGCCACACUGGGACUGAGACACGGCCCAGACUCCUACGGGAGGCAGCAGUGGGGAAUAUUGCGCAAUGGGCGGAAGCCUGACGCAGCGACGCCGCGUGGGGGAUGACGGCCUUCGGGUUGUAAACCUCUUUCAGCAGGGACGAAGCGCAAGUGACGGUACCUGCAGAAGAAGCACCGGCCAACUACGUG